AGCGUGUGUGUGUGUGUGUAUGUGUGUGUGUCUGACCUCCUGAUGAACCAGCCUCCGAUUGCUACCCCAUCAUCCUUCUGCAGCACACACACACACAUGCACACACACACAUGUA